GCCCGCUCAGAAACUACAAAGGAAGUUGACGGGGGCCCGGCACAAGCGGUGGAGUAUGUGGUUUAAUUCGAUGCAACGCGAAGAACCUUACCUGGUCUUGACAUCCCGGAGACCCUUAGGAAACUAGGGGUGCUUCCAUCUGGAAGAAUCUGGAGACAGGUGCUGCAUGGCUGUCGUCAGCUCGUGUCGUGAGAUGUUGGGUUAAGUCCCGCAACGAGCGCAACCCUUGCCUUUAGUUGCCAGCAGUUCGGCUGGGCACUCUAAAGGGACUGCCGGUGUUAAACCGGAGGAAGGUGGGGAUGACGUCAAGUCCUCAUGGCCUUUAUGACCAGGGCUACACACGUACUACAAUGGCCGAUACAAAGGGCAGCGACACUGCGAGGUGAAGCCAAUCCCGUAAAAUCGGUCUCAGUCCGGAUUGGAGUCUGCAACUCGACUCCAUGAAGUUGGAAUCGCUAGUAAUCGUGGAUCAGCAUGCCACGGUGAAUACGUUCCCGGGCCUU
rnacentral:rRNA from 1 species